rnacentral:rRNA from 1 species
UACGUAGGGACCAAGCGUUGUCCGGAAUCAUUGGGCGUAAAGAGCGUGUAGGCGGCCUGUUAAGUCUUGCGUGAAAUCUCGGGGCUCAACCCCGAGCGGGCGUGAGAAACUGGCAGGCUAGAGUGCGGGAGAGGAGAGUGGAAUUCCAGGUGUAGCGGUGAAAUGCGUAGAUAUCUGGAGGAACACCGGUGGCGAAGGCGGCAUCCUGGACCAAGACUGACACUGAAAAGCGAAAGCCAGGGGAGCAAACGGG